rnacentral:rRNA from 1 species
CUACGGGUCGCACCAGUGGGGAAUAUUGCACAAUGGGCGCAAGCCUGAUGCAGCCAUGCCGCGUGUAUGAAGAAGGCCUUCGGGUUGUAAAGUACUUUCAGCGGGGAGGAAGGGAGUAAAGUUAAUACCUUUGCUCAUUGACGUUACCCGCAGAAGAAGCACCGGCUAACUCCGUGCCAGCAGCCGCGGUAAUACGGAGGGUGCAAGCGUUAAUCGGAAUUACUGGGCGUAAAGCGCACGCAGGCGGUUUGUUAAGUCAGAUGUGAAAUCCCCGGGCUCAACCUGGGAACUGCAUCUGAUACUGGCAAGCUUGAGUCUCGUAGAGGGGGGUAGAAUUCCAGGUGUAGCGGUGAAAUGCGUAGAGAUCUGGAGGAAUACCGGUGGCGAAGGCGGCCCGCUGGGGCCAUUCUGACGCUAAGGUGCGAAAGCGUGGGGAGCGAACGGGAUUAGAUACCCGGGUAGUC